ensembl:snRNA U2 U2 spliceosomal RNA
GUCACUUCUCGGCCUUUUGACUAAGAUCAAGUGUAGUAUCUGUUCUUAUCAGUUUACAGAUAAAGAACACAAACCAGGACAAAUACAUAAAUACCCUAC